rnacentral:rRNA from 1 species
AUUGAACGCUGGCGGCAUGCCUUACACAUGCAAGUCGAACGGUAACGCGGGGCAACCUGGCGACGAGUGGCGAACGGGUGAGUAAUGCAUCGGAACGUGCCCAGUUGUGGGGGAUAACUGCUCGAAAGAGCAGCUAAUACCGCAUACGACCUGAGGGUGAAAGCGGGGGAUCGCAAGACCUCGCGCAAUUGGAGCGGCCGAUGUCGGAUUAGCUAGUUGGUGGGGUAAAGGCUCACCAAGGCAACGAUCCGUAGCUGGUCUGAGAGGACGACCAGCCACACUGGGACUGAGACACGGCCCAGACUGCUACGGGAGGCAGCAGUGGGGAAUUUUGGACAAUGGGCGCAAGCCUGAUCCAGCCAUGCCGCGUGCGGGAAGAAGGCCUUCGGGUUGUAAACCGCUUUUGUCAGGGAAGAAAUCUUCUGGGCUAAUACCCUGGGAGGAUGACGGUACCGGAAGAAUAAGGACCGGCUAACUACGUGCCAGCCGCCGCCGUAACAC